AGCCUUUGGAUCUUCAGGACCCA
rnacentral:siRNA from 1 species